rnacentral:rRNA from 1 species
ACUCUCGGCAACGGAUAUCUCGGCUCUCGCAUCGAUGAAGAACGUAGCGAAAUGCGAUACUUGGUGUGAAUUGCAGAAUCCCGUGAACCAUCGAGUCUUUGAACGCAAGUUGCGCCCGAAGCCAUUAGGCCGAGGGCACGUCUGCCUGGGCGUCACGCAUCGCGUCGCCCCACUCUCCCGCUUCCCGAAUGUGGAUGGGC